AAUAAGAUGCCNGAAAAAAGGAUUAUUUUGAUAGAAUAAAUUAUAUGUUAAAUUUAAAAACAUUCUUNNU
rnacentral:tRNA from 1 species